rnacentral:rRNA from 1 species
GUGAACGCUGGCGGUAGGCCUAACACAUGCAAGUCGAACGGCAGCACAGUAAGAGCUUGCUCUUACGGGUGGCGAGUGGCGGACGGGUGAGGAAUACAUCGGAAUCUACUUUUUCGUGGGGGAUAACGUAGGGAAACUUACGCUAAUACCGCAUACGACCUACGGGUGAAAGCAGGGGAUCUUCGGACCUUGCGCGAUUGAAUGAGCCGAUGUCGGAUUAGCUAGUUGGCGGGGUAAAGGCCCACCAAGGCGACGAUCCGUAGCUGGUCUGAGAGGAUGAUCAGCCACACUGGAACUGAAACACGGUCCAGACCCCUACGGGAGGCAGCAGUGGGGAAUAUUGGACAAUGGGCGCAAGCCUGCUCCAGCCAUACCGCGUGGGUGAAGAAGGCCUUCGGGUUGUAAAGCCCUUUUGUUGGGAAAGAAAAGCAGCAGGUUAAUACCCCGCUGUUCUGACGGUACCCAAAGAAUAAGCACCGGCUAACUUCGUG